AUCCACCCCUACAGAUACGCUAAUGCAGGCAAGGUAGGCUAAAUUAACGCUGAAUGUUCGUUCCCAUCCAGAUCCUUCCAGGGUGUACCUCUCCCUGCUUGGAUCAUUUCCAGGCGUGACGGCGCUGAAUAUGAAGUUAAACGCCGCAUUAUAUCAUACGACGACAGAACAGAAGAACAUUUUCAGCAGAAUGGAUUCAAGAAAGUAUCAAAAAUAUCAUUCAACUAAACCAGUCCCUUCUUGCUACUGAAAGCGACUGUAUUUGCGCAGACGAGCGUUGUCGAGAAGAAAAGCAUUACUGUAGCGUUUUAAUGGAAAAGUCGCCGUCACAUUUGUGACGAAUUACAGGUUGUGAAUGAUAACUUAAGGUUCGAAUGUAAAAAGGCAUAAUAAACAAUUACUUUUAGUACUAUCAUUCUCCUUUGUAGGCGGUUUGGCGAGUUGUCUGGUAACAUUGUUUUGUCAAUGUUUAGAUUGUACUGUAUUGCAUCUGAGUAUAUUCAUGAUAUCCUCCCCUUCCCUUACCUGUAAAUGGCUUUGGAUAAAGUGUCUGGUAAAUA